rnacentral:rRNA from 1 species
UACGUAGGGGGCAAGCGUUGUCCGGAAUCAUUGGGCGUAAAGCGCGUGUAGGCGGUCCGGUAAGUCGGCUGUGAAAGUCCAGGGCUCAACCCUGGGAUGCCGGUCGAUACUGCCGGACUAGAGUUCGGAAGAGGUGAGUGGAAUUCCCGGUGUAGCGGUGAAAUGCGCAGAUAUCAGGAGGAACACCGGUGGCGAAGGCGGAUCUCUGGGCCAUUACUGACGCUGAGGAGCGAAAGCGUGGGGAGCGAACAGG